rnacentral:rRNA from 1 species
UGGUGGGUAGUUUGACUGGGGCGGUCUCCUCCUAAAGAGUAACGGAGGAGCACGAAGGUUGGCUAAUCCUGGUCGGACAUCAGGAGGUUAGUGCAAUGGCAUAAGCCAGCUUGACUGCGAGCGUGACGGCGCGAGCAGGUGCGAAAGCAGGUCAUAGUGAUCCGGUGGUUCUGAAUGGAAGGGCCAUCGCUCAACGGAUAAAAGGUACUCCGGGGAUAACAGGCUGAUACCGCCCAAGAGUUCAUAUCGACGGCGGUGUUUGGCACCUCGAUGUCGGCUCAUCACAUCCUGGGGCUGAAGUAGGUCCCAAGGGUAUGGCUGUUCGCCAUUUAAAGUGGUACGCGAGCUGGGUUUAGAACGUCGUGAGACAGUUCGGUCCCUAUCUGCCGUGGGCGCUGGAGAACUGAGGGGGGCUGCUCCUAGUACGAGAGGACCGGAGUGGACGCAUCACUGGUGUUCGGGUUGUCAUGCCAAUGGCACUGCCCGGUAGCUAAAUGCGGAAGAGAUAAGUGCUGAAAGCAUCUAAGCACGAAACUUGCCCCGAGAUGAGUUCUCCCUGACCCUUUAAGGGUCCUGAAGGAACGUUGAAGACGACGACGUUGAUAGGCCGGGUGUGUAAGCGCAGCGAUGCGUUGAGCUAACCGGUACUAAUGAACCGUGAGGCUUAACCUUA